AUUUUCAGACAAGCACGGUUACAACAACUGUAGACUGAGACAGGGCUGCCUUUGAAGAGGGCGUGACAUACUAUAUAAAAAACUACACCGUGUCCUCAAGAUAUGGGCAGGAACGUCUGUUCAUGGGUCCGAACACAACGACCUACAAAACCGCUCCCCUCACACUGAGCUUUGAUGCAGAGAAGAUGGCCAAAGACACCCUGGUUCCACCAUCUGUCUCAGUGACUGGGGAUGAGCAGGACCUCUUCUCAAGAGGGGGCCACUUAACUCAGGAAGGAACUGUGGAACAUAUGCAGGUUCAAAGGAUGACGACUGUGAGGGACACAGAAGUCCCCAUCUUGGACGUGGGGAUCAAAAGCGGCUCCAGAAUCCUUGAGGUGUCCUUAUGGUGGGACCAGGCCUUGUCCAAGUUCAAAAUUAAUGAUAAAGUGAACAUAUGUCACCUUCGACCAAGCGCCAAGGCCACCAAGUUAAAUUCAACCAUGCACACAACUCUGAAGGUUUUGGAGCAAGGACCAGUGGUGGAGGACAUCGUGGUCAUUGGCUUGUCCAAAGCCAAAGGUCUUCUUGCUCGCUGAGGACUUCAGUGAAUACACGGCACCUCCUGAGCUGCUUGAAGGGAGUGUAGAAGAGCUCCUGUGCCAGCUUCCACUUCAUUUAGAAGUAAUGCAUGAGCACAGAAAAAUUAAAAAAAAAUUAUGUUGAUUAAAUGUAAGUUUUUUAGUUGUGUGAAAUAGUUCUUUUCCCUGUAAUUGUUUGUUGUUCCAUUUUAUUAUAUUGAUUUGUUAUUUAAUUGUUUUGCAUAUAUAUAUAUUAUAUAUAUAAUUUAAAAUUGUUCUUUAUAGAUUGUUUAUUUAUUGAAAUCGAUAAUAUUGUUUUUAUUUUAUCUAACCUUAUCUGGAAUUUCUCCUAUUGUUAUUCAAUUUAAAGUGAUUCAUUCAGUUAAUAAAGUGAAUUUCAAUACAUUGAGACA
ensembl:lncRNA